GAUGAAGGACGUGCUAAUCUGCGAUAAGCGUCGGUAAGGUGAUAUGAACCGUUAUAACCGGCGAUUUCCGAAUGGGGAAACCCAGUGUGUUUCGACACACUAUCAUUAACUGAAUCCAUAGGUUAAUGAGGCGAACCGGGGGAACUGAAACAUCUAAGUACCCCGAGGAAAAGAAAUCAACCGAGAUUCCCCCAGUAGCGGCGAGCGAACGGGGAGCAGCCCAGAGCCUGAAUCAGUGUGUGUGUUAGUGGAAGCGUCUGGAAAGGCGCGCGAUACAGGGUGACAGCCCCGUACACAAAAAUGCACAUGCUGUGAGCUCGAUGAGUAGGGCGGGACACGUGGUAUCCUGUCUGAAUAUGGGGGGACCAUCCUCCAAGGCUAAAUACUCCUGACUGACCGAUAGUGAACCAGUACCGUGAGGGAAAGGCGAAAAGAACCCCGGCGAGGGGAGUGAAAAAGAACCUGAAACCGUG
rnacentral:rRNA from 1 species